rnacentral:rRNA from 1 species
UACGUAGGGUCCAAGCGUUAAUCGGAAUUACUGGGCGUAAAGCGUCCGCAGGUGGCUUGAUAAGAUAGACGUGAAAUCCCUGGGCUCAACCUAGGAAUUGCGUUUAUGACUGUCUCGCUAGAGUAUGGGAGAGGGGGGUGGAAUUCCGCGUGUAGCAGUGAAAUGCGUAGAGAUGCGGAGGAACACCGAUGGCGAAGGCAACCCCCUGGCCUAAUACUGACACUCAUGGACGAAAGCGUGGGGAGCAAACAGG